ensembl:misc_RNA Metazoa_SRP Metazoan signal recognition particle RNA
GCUGGGCAUGGUAGCUCAUGCCUGUAAUCUCAACUACUUAGGAGGCCGAGGUGGGAGAAUCGCUUGAGCCCAGGAGUUUAAGACCAGCCUGGGCAACAUACUGAGACUCCAUCUCUU